rnacentral:tRNA from 1 species
AGUCUUAUAGUCAAAUUAAAUGAUAUAAAAUUGCAAAUUUUAAGGUAUAAAUAAAUUAUUAAGGCUU